rnacentral:snoRNA from 1 species
CCUAACGCCUUCAAUCACGUACUGGGUAGGUGGGCCUUCGGAGGUAAAUUCUCUGUCUGAGGUGCUGGAGGGGAGGACACCUGUGGCCUCAUUCCUCCAGCUUCUCAAAGUCCUGUGGACAAAGCCCAGAAGACAAAGAACACAGGGCCCCACU